rnacentral:rRNA from 1 species
GACGAACCGGACAAACGUUAUUCGGAAUUACUGGGCUUAAAGGGUUUGUAGGCGGCCUUGUAAGUCAGGUGUGAAAUCCCUCGGCUCAACCGAGGAAUAGCGCUUGAUACUGCAAGGCUUGAGGGAGACAGGGGUAAGCGGAACUGAUGGUGGAGCGGUGAAAUGCGUUGAUAUCAUCAGGAACACCGGUGGCGAAAGCGGCUACUGGGUCUCUUCUGACGCUGAGGAACGAAAGCUAGGGGAGCGAA